GUCGUCAGCUCGUGUCGUGAGAUGUUGGGUUAAGUCCGCAACGAGCGCAACCCCUGCAUUCAGUUGCCAUCGGGUAAUGCCGGGCACUCUGGAAGGACUGCCAUCGACAAGAUGGAGGAAGUGGGGAUGACGUCAAGUCAUCAUGGCCCUUAUGUCCAGGGCGACACACGUGCUACAAUGGCCGGCACAACGGGAAGCGAGUUCGCGAGGACGAGCGGAUCCCUCAAAGCCGGUCGCAGUUCGGAUUGAAGUCUGCAACUCGACUUCAUGAAGCUGGAAUCGCUAGUAAUCGUGGAUCAGCCAAGCCGCGGUGAAUACGUUCCCGGGCCUU
rnacentral:rRNA from 1 species